ensembl:misc_RNA Metazoa_SRP Metazoan signal recognition particle RNA
GCCGGGCGCGAUGGCUCAUGCCUGUAAUCCCAGCACUUUGGGAGGCCGAGGCGGGAGGAUCACUUGAGGUCAGGAGUUCAAGACCAGCCUGGCCAACAUGGUGAAACCCCGUCUCUA